rnacentral:rRNA from 1 species
CCAGACUCCUACGGGAGGCAGCAGUAGGGAAUCUUCGGCAAUGGACGGAAGUCUGACCGAGCAACGCCGCGUGAGUGAAGAAGGUUUUCGGAUCGUAAAGCUCUGUUGUAAGAGAAGAACGAGUGUGAGAGUGGAAAGUUCACACUGUGACGGUAUCUUACCAGAAAGGGACGGCUAACUACGUGCCAGCAGCCGCGGUAAUACGUAGGUCCCGAGCGUUGUCCGGAUUUAUUGGGCGUAAAGCGAGCGCAGGCGGUUAGAUAAGUCUGAAGUUAAAGGCUGUGGCUUAACCAUAGUACGCUUUGGAAACUGUUUAACUUGAGUGCAAGAGGGGAGAGUGGAAUUCCAUGUGUAGCGGUGAAAUGCGUAGAUAUAUGGAGGAACACCGGUGGCGAAAGCGGCUCUCUGGCUUGUAACUGACGCUGAGGCUCGAAAGCGUGGGGAGCAAACAGGAUUAGAUACCCUGGUAGUCCACGCCGUAAACGAUGAGUGCUAGGUGUUAGACCCUUUCCGGGGUUUAGUGCCGCAGCUAACGCAUUAAGCACUCCGCCUGGGGAGUACGACCGCAAGGUUGAAACUCAAAGGAAUUGACGGGGGCCCCGCACAAGAAGG